UUAAGUUCAGCGGGUAUCCCUACCUGAUCCGAGGUCAAACUAAGAAUCAUAGACGUGUGCGGCAGCCCCGCGGCCUGGCCCUUGUGCGUACAAUCUGCUACGCGCAAGACCAACCGCCGGACGCCGAUACUUUUUAAGGCGAGUCCACCGUGCAACGCGGGGACAGACGCCCCAACACCAAGCUGUGCUUGAGGUUUGUA
rnacentral:misc_RNA from 1 species